UGAAUGAUCGAUCUUUAGGGCAUCAAGCGGCGGGAUGCCACGACACUAUGAUGUCAUGUCGCCACAUUUAGACGCCAGAUCAAUUUGGUUAUCCAACAAAUUCAAGAUGCCUAGAUGGAUGAAAGUCUCAAUUGGUAUACCAUUCGUCUUCUGAUCAAGAUCUAUUUGAGGAGUUUAACUCCAGAAAGACGAGCUGCUACAUUAAGAAAAUCUCUGUUGACGGAAAAUGCCAUUAAGCAGAGUAUUAAAAAGCAUGUCCUUCAAUAUUCUGACAAUGAGGAGAAGGAUAGCUAUGUACAUAAUUUUAUUAAUUCAACCAGUAGCAGUGAAGAAGAUGGAAGGUGUUGCAUACUUUUAAAUAUCAAAAAGAUACAGUAUGAGAACUAUAUUGUAAACAUAUGGUAUCACGGACAAAGUUGAACAGAAUAAUGCAGUUGAUGAAGAAACGAAAACUCAAGAAAGAUUUCAAAACAGAGGAAGUAUCGGGAUCAGACUCUGGGAAUAGCGUCCACAGUAUUGUGCAUGAAAAUGAAUCACAUGAUAUUAGCAUGCCAGAAGAACAUAAUAGUGAUUCCAGAGUUUAUUCCUCCAAUAAGAAAACAAGGGAAUCACCGCUGGUUACCUUGUGGCUCUUUAACGGAUGAGAAAAAAAUGGAAUUUCAAACAAAAGAUUGAGGUUGAUAAUAUUGAUCCAAUAGAUGUGCAAAAGAAAGUAAAGUGAAACAUUUCUGUGUAAAAUGAAACAUUUACAGAAACAGCUGAGCAAAUCAAAAUUGCUGCUAGAAGCUGGUAACACCAAUCUGUUACCGGAUGAAGGCAGGAAAUUGCGUGAAAAUAUCACGAUAUAAGAAGAAGUAUUCAAGUCGCAGUAGAAUUACAGAAUACUGCGCUCAUGCGAGAUGUGAAAGGAGGAGCAUAUGCUUCUGAGGCAGUAGUAGUUUGUUAAAAAACAUGGUGAUAACGACAUACAUCAUACUGUUUCGCGAAUUCAAAUUGAGAGUCACUUUCGUCAUAGACAAUAUCCUUAUUCUUUCUCGGUCAAUAUAAUUGAACGAAUUUUUUGAAGAUAUUCCUCUGUUAGGUUUCUUCUAUAGACUCAUCUCCGGUUUUCAAGUUGGAUGCAUAAACUCUGGAAUCACUGUUGUGUUCUUCUCCCAUGCUAAUAUCAUGUGAUUCAUUUUCAUGCACAAUACUGAGGACACUAUUCCCAGAGUCUAAAUCUAUCCUCGUAUUUCCUCUGUUUUGAAAUCUUUCUUGAGGUUCUUUUCUUCAUUAACUGCAUUAUUUUGUUCAACUUUGUCCGUGAUAUCAUAUGUUUACAAUAUAGUUCUCAUACUGUAUCUUUUUGAUAUUUAAAAGUAUUCAACAUCUUCCAUCUUCUUCACUGCUACUGGUUGAAUUAAGAAGAUUAUGUACAUAGCUAUCCUCCUCCUCAUUGUCAGAAUAUUGAAGGAUAUGCUUUUUAAUACUCUGCUUAAUGGCAUUUUCCGUCAACAGAGAUUUUCUUAAUGUAGCAGCCCGUCUGAAAGAAGGUACAAAAUAUAAAACACAUGGAAAUCAUCAAUGUGAUAAAGGAAAGGAUGAUUUGACAAGUAAGGAGACAGAAAAAAUUUACUUACUUCUCUAGAGUUAAAGUUAUGAGAAACAGUUGUUUAUGUUUUCGAUUACGAAAACUUGUUUGAACGAUCUUCCCUUAUUAGAAGGCGAAUUUCGUACUGUAUUUAAGUUUGCAUGCGUGCACAAGUUUGUAUGAUAAACUAUAAUUUGAAUAUUUACAAUUUCAUUUAUGUAUAUGUAUUUCUAUUGUUAAUUAUGGAAUAUGGAUUAAAGGAUCUAAUAAAGUUAUGGAUUAAAGAAUCUAAAAGGAA